CUAGGCACACAUUCUCUAAGGGUCAUAGGAUCAAGCCAGGAAUUCCAGCACACCAUUUAGACAUUUCCAUGUGCUUAAAUCUGCCCCUGCUGUGGCAUCAGAAUCCUGGCUUUCGCUGUGGAGAAGGGGAUAGUAGUUAGUACACCUGGUGGGUCCUUUUCCAGUGGCCAGGCUCCUUGUCGCUUUUCCACAGGGAUGUUCCUCCCUGUGCCCAGGGCAAAGUUUUCUGAAGCCAGGAUAGUCAGGACCCUACGGAAAUUCUCAUCCCCUUACGUGGAAUAUAAUGCUUCCUUUCUGUUGAGUAAUAUAGACAAAUUAUUCCCUAGUACAUUAGAUAUACUCUGGUGCUGUAUUUAAUUUAUUUUUGAAAAGUCUGAUACCUUCCCAAGGGUGAAAAUUCUGGAACGUUGAUAGGUAUACUGGGGCAUAAAGUCUUAGCACAUAGUAGAGUCCUAGAGGUCUAUAGCCAGUGAAAUCUAAAUAGCCUGCCAAAUCAAACGGGCCCACUUAUUUUACCUUUACUGGGCCGGAGGCACCUAGCGAAUCUUGGGGAUUUUAUUCUGGAGGAGAGCCAUUUAGGUAAUUAAUAAUAGUUCCUUGAUGAACUUCCUUAUUAUCCCUUAAAGUAAGGAUAACUUAAAGAAGGAGAGAAAGCGUGAGUCAGAUAUAUUUUGCCAAGGAUCAUAAGAGACAACCCUGAAGACAACCUAGUCAGUAGUUAAUAGUAAUAAUAAUUAUUAUGAGGAUUGUCAUAGUGAUGGAGUAUAGAGAAAGUCGACACCGGCUGGUGGAAGACAGACCUAUGCUCGGCAUGCCAGAUUGCUGCUGAGAAAGGAUACUCUGGCUGGUUCUUGAAAUAACCUCUCAAAAUAGAAAUUAACACAGAAGACUCAUACUCAUCUGGGCCCAGAAUUCCAGAUGCACUCUUGUCUUUGGCAGGAAU